rnacentral:lncRNA from 1 species
AUGUUUAAUAUACCAGUGAUCAUGUUUAAUCUCCUAACAAAGUGUGUAAUUCUUUUAGCCUUGAUUUAUUUAUUCAUUUUUUCUGUUUUAGUUCUUACGCGUCGUGCUUGGGAAUCAGUUGUAAAUUAUGCCAAGUCUGACAAAAUCGUGGUGCUGGCUGUGUAUGGCGUCAUGAUUCUGUUUAUUGUCAUCGGCAUCAUUUACCAUGGUGCAGGAUGGAUCUGCAUGGCUAUAUUUCAGCAAGCCCUGUGGAUGAUCGCAAUUAUUAUAUUUAUUGCCAGUUGGAAAACAGGAAAUAGGGGGAAAACAACAUCCUUGAAUUCCACAUGUGAAUACAUGCGUUUAGACUUAGAUCUAGCCAUCCUCUUUAAAAAGAUGCUGUAUGUGUUUGGAUCAGUUGGCGUUGUUCUACUGAACUCUGGUUCACUGAUGACUGAACUGAUACUGAAAACAGUAAAUGGCGAGCGUGCAGUGGGAGAUCUGAGAGUCAUCGUCUAUUCCUCUGAGAGCCUCUUUGCCUUUUCUCUGCUCAUUUUACUCAUGUUUGGACCCUGGAUUUCAGACAUGAAGUGUCUACAGUGUUUUCAGAAAGCAGCAAGGCCUUCUGACCUUCCAGUCACCAGAUCAGACCAGAACUGGGAUUCGCAGGUGAAUAUCUUUUAUAAGAUCAUAAUGAUAUAA